UUCAGACAUUACUGAAAUUUUUAAAUGUGUCAUAUAAUGCAUGCAAUAUAUGCAUAUGUAUAUAGACAAUUUUUUUAUAGUUAAAUUUUUACAAAUUUUGGAUGAAGGAAUUACUAAAUGAUACGGAAUUUAAUAUACAUGGACCUGAUUGAUUAGUAUGUAAAUGUUAUGAUGGAUAUAAAGAUAUGGCAAUAUCUUUGUAACCAUUGUAGGAAAUAGAAAUUGUAAAAACCUUAUGAAUAAUAAAUUUCGAUUUCCACCGGAACGUUAGGUCGAUGAUAAGUUUUGAAAAAUGUCGUCGUUGCAUAUCCGUGAAUUUUGCGUACUUUUCAAUGUGGUAUCUCUUACCUGCGUUUUUCGGAACCACUGCAAGUGGCUGCUUUGAUUUAUAUCGGCGUUCCCGUCUGCACGAAGGAAAAUGGGUCAGAUAAAAGUUACAUAGUUUUAAAAAGAACGCGAAAUGGAUGAAAUAAAAUCUUUCUUGGUAGAAGCUCAUGGUUUGCGUCUUUUUUUUUUUACAAGAUCCUCUGGAUAAUAUAAGGGCAGAUAGAGAGAAAUUUUGAGUAAGAAAUGCGAAGUAAAACAUAUCGAUGUAAUAACGUGGGAAAUUGGAUAGUGAAACAUUGAUUUAUACAUUGAUUUAUACAUUAGUUACGUGAAACCUCCUAUUGGAAGUGAAAGAUAAUUUUAUCUUUCGAUGGAACGUUGAAAACUUUUUUGAGAUAUGCAUCCACCGUAAUCCGUUAAAAGAUAUAAUAAUCGAUGCAGCGCAUAUUUUCAAGCUUUCUUAAUAAUUUUUAAAAUGACAAAAAUUGCCGAGGAAUGGAAUCGCAGAGCGAACGUUAGCAGCCGGAUAACAUGACCGAGCUCGUGCUACACGAGAGAAAAAUUAAUAUCCAACGAGAUAAGCGGCAGGAAAAUAUAGAACGGCGAUAAAACUGUGGCAAACGUUCUUUGGCACUUAAUGUCCGGCGUGUAAUUUACCACGAGUUCGAGGUAGUUAACUUCCACUUUGAAGUACGCUGGCCCGGGAAAUUAGCUAUAAACUCGAGUUUAUCUGUAAACUUUUCUAGUGGUAAAACCUACCACUAAGGCGAAUAAUAAAUACAUUCUCCCGGUAAUUAUUAUUUUUAAUUAAGCGUCGCGACGCUGCGGCGAGGCGGCGACGAGUGAGAAAAUUUCGUCGAAGACUGUAAUUAAACGCGGAAAAAAAGCAUUUUUGCUUAAGGUGAAUUAAGGAAGAUUGGAUAUUUUAUCAACAUUACGGAAGUUAAACAAUCUAUCAAUUAAAAUUUUUAAUUUCAAAGUAAAUAUAUUUUUAGCUUGUGCAUUUAGUAGGUGCAUCGAAUUAUCGGAUUAUGUUGUUCAUAUUUUAUUCUGUUCAGAUACACCAAACGAUGUCUGACUGACGUUCCAAAUCUACUUUAAGCGCACUGUUGUCCAGUUAACAACAAUCUUAUUUUCGGACACGGAAUCUUGUUCGCGGCAUGGAUUAUGGAUCAAAUACGACAAAAGCAGACUAUUUAUAUCAAAGUACGAUCUUAACUUUAUAUGCAUGUGCUACUUGAGACAUAGUGUUCAAGCAGCAAAUCACUAGUCCCAAGAGAAGAUUCGCAAUAAAAGUGGUUAGAAUGACACGUGAAAUUGCCAGACGAAGCUAAAUAACUUACGAAUCGACUACGAGUUAAGAGCAUUCGUAGAUUUUUCUUUUUCUGCCGUUUCUCAUCCGCAAGAACACGUAUCCUGGUUACGGUACUAUCCUCUCGCGAAAACUGCUAACACGUAUAUAGUCGAAGGAAACGUGGACGCGCGGCUCGCAUAUGAAACUGUCGAGACACGUGGAACACUAAUUCAACGCACGUGUCACCUCCUGACAUCGCGGCACGUGCAAGUUCUUCCGUGACCACUGUAUGUGAACAUUGUGAAGCAACUUGCCGACACGCGAUAAAUUUCGUCGUUUGCAACAUCCUCGCGAAUUGUCCCGUGCCAAUGACACGCUACAACGCUGGAUAUUGCGCUAGCCGGAGGAAACUAGAACUCUAUUUGAUCAUAUAUGUUCCCUUAAUCGUGACAUUAAUCAAAAUUGAAUUAUGGUGUUAUUGUUCAUCUUGACAAUUAUUAUUUUAUGGUUGAUGAAAACUCGA